rnacentral:rRNA from 1 species
GCGGAGCUAAUCCCUUAAAGCCAUUCUCAGUUCGGAUUGUAGGCUGAAACUCGCCUACAUGAAGCUGGAGUUACUAGUAAUCGCAGAUCAGAAUGCUGCGGUGAAUGCGUUCCCGGGUCUUGUACACACCGCCCGUCACACCAUGAGAGUUGGGAAUACCCGAAGCCUGUGAGCUAACAUAUGAGGCAGCAGUCGAAGGUAGAAUCAAUGAUUGGGGUGAAGUCGUAACAAGGUACC